UGGGCCCGACGGUUUGAUCAUGGCUCAGAUUGAACGCUGGCGGCAUGCCUUACACAUGCAAGUCGAACGGCAGCACGGGGGUAACCCUGGUGGCGAGUGGCGAACGGGUGAGUAAUACAUCGGAACGUGUCCUAGAGUGGGGGAUAGCCCGGCGAAAGCCGGAUUAAUACCGCAUACGCUCGAGAGAGGAAAGCGGGGGAUCUUCGGACCUCGCGCUCAAGGGGCGGCCGAUGGCGGAUUAGCUAGUUGGUAGGGUAAAGGCCUACCAAGGCGACGAUCCGUAGCUGGUCUGAGAGGACGACCAGCCACACUGGGACUGAGACACGGCCCAGACUCCUACGGGAGGCAGCAGUGGGGAAUUUUGGACAAUGGGGGCAACCCUGAUCCAGCAAUGCCGCGUGUGUGAAGAAGGCCUUCGGGUUGUAAAGCACUUUUGUCCGGAAAGAAAUCCUCUGGGUUAAUACCUCGGGGGGAUGACGGUACCGGAAGAAUAAGCACCGGCUAACUACGUGCCAGCAGCCGCGGUAAUACGUAGGGUGCGAGCGUUAAUCGGAAUUACUGGGCGUAAAGCGUGCGCAGGCGGUUUGCUAAGACCGAUGUGAAAUCCCCGGGCUUAACCUGGGAACUGCAUUGGUGACUGGCAAGCUAGAGA
rnacentral:rRNA from 1 species